rnacentral:rRNA from 1 species
UACGUAGGGGGCAAGCGUUGUCCGGAUUUAUUGGGCGUAAAGAGCGUGUAGGCGGCCAGGCAGGUCCGUUGUGAAAACUCGAGGCUCAACCUCGAGACGUCGAUGGAAACCAUCUGGCUAGAGUCCGGAAGAGGAGAGUGGAAUUCCUGGUGUAGCGGUGAAAUGCGCAGAUAUCAGGAAGAACACCCGUGGCGAAGGCGGCUCUCUGGGACGGUACUGACGCUGAGACGCGAAAGCGUGGGGAGCGAACAGG